rnacentral:rRNA from 1 species
UACGAAGGGGGCUAGCGUUGCUCGGAAUCACUGGGCGUAAAGCGCACGUAGGCGGCUUUCUAAGUCAGGGGUGAAAUCCUGGAGCUCAACUCCAGAACUGCCUUUGAUACUGGAGAGCUUGAGUUCGAGAGAGGUGAGUGGAACUGCGAGUGUAGAGGUGAAAUUCGUAGAUAUUCGCAAGAACACCAGUGGCGAAGGCGGCUCACUGGCUCGAUACUGACGCUGAGGUGCGAAAGCGUGGGGAGCAAACAGG